UACGGAGGGUGCAAGCGUUGCUCGGAAUUAUUGGGCGUAAAGGGUAGGUAGGUGGUCUUAUUUGUCUGGGGUGAAAGCCUUGAGCUUAACUCAAGAAGUGCCUCGGAAACGGUGAGACUGGAGUCCUGGAGAGGGUCGUGGAAUUCCGGGUGUAGUGGUGAAAUGCGUAGAGAUCCGGAGGAACCCCAGAGGCGAAGGCGGCGCCCUGGCUCGCAACUGACGCUCAGACACGACAGCAUGGGGAGCGAACGGG
rnacentral:rRNA from 1 species